CAAGGAUUUGUUUAUAGGCCAUUGAAUCGGGUCAUAUAGGUCACAUGUCACGUGCAUAAGUCACUUAUUCACUAUCACAAAUUCAAUUAAUCAAUUUCGACAAUGAAAAUUGAAGUUUGCUUUAAAACUCUUUUGUAAAUUCCAUUCCGGAUUGUUUUUCAAUUUUAUAAAAUCAUUUUAAGUUAUAACCAGCAUUUUGGAAUCGUGGAUAGAGAGGAUGAUCAGUCACCUACGAUGCUCAAUUAAUGUUCUCCAAAGGCCGUUAUUUCUCCCUCUAUGUUUACUAUUUGAGUUGGCUAUGUUCAUGUUUGCUGCUAAAGAAGUCACAGAGCGGGUUGGAUGCUCGUGGUGGGUGAAUGUCGACGACUAUAGAAAGGGAUGGUGACGGGUGGGUGCGUGAUGUGCAGGGCGGGUGGUUGUGGGUAGCUUAAUUUGAUUUGAUAAUAUUAUUAUUUAGUAGUUAAAAUAGAUUAACACAUGACUUUUGUAUUUUUAAACUUAAUGUCUGGAAAUUGAUUUAGUGCAUACUUAAUACUUGACUUAUGAUUUUUUACCUAAUCUUAUCCUUUUUUUUUUCUUUUUUAAUAAUCUCAGGAGCUGCUUACUUGAAACCAGAUGGGUCAGACCCAACUCUCCUCUUUCUUACUAGAUUCAAGGCCCGUUAUAUCAUGUUCAGUUCUACUUUAGGCUAGACCAUGACAAAACUAUGACCCAUUUCCAUCCAACCAUUCAUCGCUAUUUCACUAUAUUUUCAAAGACGUUAUUCAAUGGUCAUUGUUCUUUAAUUUUGUUGCUUUGGAUCGUUUCAAAUAUUGACAACUCAAUUUCUCAUAACAUAAAAAUCGUUAAUUUUUUUGAAUAGAGGAGACAAGGUUAUGGAUGGAAAAGAUUUACAUCGAAUAUUUACGAAAAUUAAAACUUUUAGAGAAAGUUAAAAAAC
rnacentral:lncRNA from 1 species